UCUCUCUCUUCGGUGCGGCGUCGAACUUCGGCAUCACGCUUGAAGCUCCGGUCGGAGCUACCAAAGUCGAACUCAAUCUCCAGCACGAUUCUCUCCCUCCCUCCCCGAUCUCUACCGGUUGCUCCCCCUCCCCCCUCUCUCUCUCUCUCUCUACCUCCGACAUCACGCCUGAAUCUCAAACCACCAUGUCCUCAUCCUCGUCAUCCUUAGGGGAGAAGAGACAAAAUCUCUGGUUUCAUGUGAAAUCUGAUCAAUUCGGAUCAAUCCGACCUCUCUCACCUCGAUCUCUCUCAUUAUGCUGCACAUGAUUACGAUUGGAAGCCGUCUUCAACCUCCGAAACAGCAAACCUAUCCUUAUCGGAGUGACUGGCAACCCCCAAUCUGGUCCGAGUUUGACUGCAAUUAGAAAGAAGGGAGAAGAGGACAUGGGUGCCCAAAUCAGUUUUUUUUGGGUAAAAUAUGGGCAAAAGGCCCAGUAAAAAAAAGACAAAAAAAAAUUAUUGGGGGCAAUAUAUGUUUU
rnacentral:lncRNA from 1 species